rnacentral:miRNA from 5 species
UGCCUGGCUCCCUGUAUGCCG